rnacentral:rRNA from 1 species
GACAGAGGUGCCGAGCGUUAUGCGGAAUCACUGGGCUUAAAGCGUGUGUAGGCGGACCCGUCAGUGUCUUGUGAAAUCCCACGGCUCAACCGUGGAACGGCUGGGCAUACUGCGGGUCUUGAGACACCUAGGGGCGAGCGGAACAGGCGGUGGAGCGGUGAAAUGCGUAGAUAUCGCCUGGAACGCCGACGGUGAAAACAGCUCGCUGGGGGUGUUCUGACGCUGAGACACGAAAGCCAGGGGAGCGAACGGG